AUUGAACGCUGGCGGCAGGCCUAACACAUGCAAGUCGAACGAGUGGCGGACGGGUGAGUAAUGUAUGGGAAACUGCACGAUGGAGGGGGAUAACUAAUGGAAACAGUAGCUAAUACCGCAUACAAUCGGAUGUGCACAGGUGGGAUUAGCUAGUAGGUGGGGUAACGGCUCACCUAGGCGACGAUCCCUAGCUGGUCUGAUAGGAUGACCAGCCAAACGGGAGCUGAGACACGAUCCAGACACCUACGGGAGGCAGCAGUGGGAAAUAUUGCACAAUGGGCGCAAGCCUGAUGCAGCCAUGCCGCUUGUAGGAAGAAGGCCUUCAGGUUGUAAAGUACUUUCAUCGAGGAGGCGUUACUCGCAGAAGAAGCACCGGCUAACGCCGUGCCAGCAGCCGCGGUAAUAC
rnacentral:rRNA from 1 species